rnacentral:rRNA from 1 species
GACGAACGCUGGCGGCGUGCCUAAUACAUGCAAGUCGAACGCACUCUCGUUUAGAUUGAAGGAGCUUGCUCCUGAUUGAUAAACAUUUGAGUGAGUGGCGGACGGGUGAGUAACACGUGGGUAACCUGCCCUAAAGUGGGGGAUAACAUUUGGAAACAGAUGCUAAUACCGCAUAAAACCUAACACCGCAUGGUGUAGGGUUGAAAGAUGGUUUCGGCUAUCACUUUAGGAUGGACCCGCGGUGCAUUAGUUAGUUGGUGAGGUAAAGGCUCACCAAGACCGUGAUGCAUAGCCGACCUGAGAGGGUAAUCGGCCACACUGGGACUGAGACACGGCCCAGACUCCUACGGGAGGCAGCAGUAGGGAAUCUUCCACAAUGGACGAAAGUCUGAUGGAGCAACGCCGCGUGAGUGAAGAAGGUUUUCGGAUCGUAAAACUCUGUUGUUGGAGAAGAAUGUAUCUGAUAGUAACUGAUCAGGUAGUGACGGUAUCCAACCAG